rnacentral:rRNA from 1 species
CAGCCGCCGCGGUAAUACGUAGGGUGCGAGCGUUAAUCGGAAUUACUGGGCGUAAAGCGUGCGCAGGCGGUUUUGUAAGACAGGCGUGAAAUCCCCGGGCUCAACCUGGGAAUGGCGCUUGUGACUGCAAAGCUAGAGUGCGGCAGAGGGGAUGGAAUUCCGCGUGUAGCAGUGAAAUGCGUAGAUAUGCGGAGGAACACCGAUGGCGAAGGCAAUCCCCUGGGCCUGCACUGACGCUCAUGCACGAAAGCGUGGGGAGCAAACAGGAUUAGAUACCCCGGUAGUCCCUGUCUCUUAUACC